rnacentral:rRNA from 1 species
GACGAACGCUGGCGGCGUGCCUAAUACAUGCAAGUCGAACGAGUGGCGGACGGGUGAGUAACACGUGGGAACCUACCCAUCAGAGGGGGAUAACCACUGGCUACGGUGGCUAAUACCGCAUACUAUCGGAUGACCCCAUAUGGGAUUAGCUAGUAGGUGGGGUACAGGCUCACCUAGGCGACGAUCUCUAGCUGGUCUGAGAGGAUGAUCAGCCACACUGGGACUGAGACACGGCCCAGACUCCUACGGGAGGCAGCAGUGGGGAAUAUUGCACAAUGGGCGCAAGCCUGAUGCAGCCAUGCCGCGUGUAUGAAGAAGGCCUUAGGGUUGUAAAGUACUUUCAGCGGGGAGGCGUUACCCGCAGAAGAAGCACCGGCUAACUCCGUGCCAGCAGCCGCGGUAAUAC